GGUGGGUAUGGCUCUGAAGAUCCUCAAGAGGGCAAGGGGGGGGCAGGUCCCCGUCACACAGCAGGACUGGGACCAACAGGGCGUCAGCAGUGUCCAGGGACAACUUGGGAGCUCUUCAGACCCCCAAACCACCGUCGGACAUCCCAGAGCCUCCCCCCAAAUAAACAAAAGUCAAGUUAAUACAGGGUACUGGCUACACAAAUGAGGCACCAGCUCAAACCCGCUGGUUGUCCUCCAGCCAGGUGGCCGCCCCUAAAACAGGACUUGCCACGGGGUGAGGCAGGACUCUCCCAGCACAGCAUCCCCCCAGGACAGGGCUGAGCCCCUGGAACAGAGCCCCUCCAGUCAGUCAGUGUUUAGUCACAUGCCAGGCACUAAGCCAAUUUCAUUGUCACAACAGCCCGAAGGGGUGGUUACAGGUACUAUUCUCAUGCUACAUAGGGAGAAACGGAGGCUCAGAGAGAUGAAGUACCUGGCUUGAGGUCACAAGGCAGCAGGUGGACAGGGGCAUUUGGACCCAGGGCUCUGUGACUCCAGAGCCCAAGGGCUUGAUCUCCUCCGUCUGCCUGGUGUUUGCUGAUGCCCUGGGCCGUGUGGCUGGAGGAACAGGAAGAGGUGAGUUCUGACUCUCGCUCCCCUCGGCUCCCAGACAGACCAGAAGCCGGAUUUCUCCACAUCAGAGAAGCAGUUGAGAACAGGUAAUCAGAUGGUCUGGAUUUGAAUCUCAGCUUUACUGCUUACUAGCUGUAUGACACUGGAUAAGUGACUUAAACUCUUUAUGCCUUGAUUUUUUCAUUUGUAAAAUAAUAACAGUACAUACUUCAUGGAGUUACUAUAUGGAUUGAAUGUGUUAUAUAUGUAAAGUACUUAGAAAAAGACAUGGCCAAAACCUGUUA